AGAAUGAACGUUGGCGGCGUGGAUUAGGCAUGCAAGUCGAACGGGCCGCAAGGCCAGUGGCGGAAGGUGAGUAAGGCGAAGGUAACCAACCCCGCGGGUGGGCAUAGCCGAGGGAAACUUCGGGUAAUUCCCAGCGAUGUGAUGGCUCGGCAUCGGGCUAUCACCAAAGAUUUAUCGCCGUGGGACGGGCCUUCGUGGUAUUAGGUUGUUGGCGGGGUGACGGCCCACCAAGCCUGCGAUGCCUACCGGGCGUGCGAGCGUGGCCCGGCACACUGGGACUGAGACACUGCCCAGACUCCUACGGGAGGCUGCAGUCGAGAAUCUUCGGCAAUGGGCGCAAGCCUGACCGAGCGACGCCGCGUGGAGGAUGAAGGCCUUCGGGUUGUAAACUCCUGUCGAGGGGGAGGAAGGCGCAAGCUUGACCGAUCCCUGGAGGAAGCACGGGCUAAGUUCGUGCCAGCAGCCGC
rnacentral:rRNA from 1 species